CAGGUGGAUCGCUAACCUCCGCAUCGGCAAGGCUGUGACGCUUACAGUGACUGUUUGCUCACGGCAUUUUGCACGGGAUAAUUUCUCCUUACCAGAUGUAGCAUGUCAAAGACAGCGGCUGAAAAAAAUGCAGUACCAACUGAAAACCUGCCAAGGACGUCAUGUUAUGAUGAGAACAAGGAUGCUCAUAUGAAAGAGCUUUCACUGGCAAGACUUCGCCGACGUGUGUAUCGGUCAGCCAGAAAUGAAUCAAGCAAAGAAACUGUUGCCUCCCCAUUAGAAGCAAAGGUGUUGCCCCAUGCACCUGUCAGCACGACCACCAUGGUAAAUUGGCUGCCUGCAACUUGUGCACACAUUGCUUCACCACUAAUUCCUUGGGAUUAAACUCUGACAUUGCAGGACGAUCUCCCAUCCCCUGACCGCAACAGCAUGGACCAAAUAAGUGACAAAGGAAAUAUGGUAAUUUCUUUUUGUAUAUGUAUGUGUUGUGGUAGCUGUCUUUACCUAGACGGUGGCAUGCUUUCUGGAUUUACAUCGUAAAAGCAUUGUAGCACGUGGUGUGUGAUGGGUGCACAUUAAUUGCAACUUGUGCACACAUUGCUUAACCACUGGUUUCUUGAACUGAACUCUAUCUGACAUUGCAGGACGAUUUCCCAUCCCCUAACAGCAUGGACCAAAGCCUUGCAAACACCAUAAGGGACAAGGACAUAGCAAAUAUGGCAAUUUAUUUUUUCUAUAUAUUUGUGAUGUGGUAGCUGUCUUUACCUAGCCGGCAGCAUGUUUUCUGGAUUAACUUCGUGAAAGGAUUGUGGUGUGUGAUGGGUGCAAAUUAACUGAUGCAAAAAGCCUGGCUUUCCUACUUCCAACAUUGAAUUUAAUACAUUGACGUGCAUUAUUGGAAUGACAAAAAGAAGCUGCAUUUCGCGUCAGAUAUGUCAGACAUUACAACUCUUGCUUUUGUUUUG